UUAUCACGGCAUUUUGUUUGCGAUAGCGAGUUCGGUGCGACGGAAUUUCGUCUUUGGUUCUGAUGAUAUAGAGCGGUUAAUUUAAUAAAUAGCGGUGUUACUUUUUCAAUUAGGCGAGUUACUAAUAAGAAAGUUAUCUGGUGCGAUCGUGUUAUACCUUGAAAAUUGAUUGAGUUCUAAAAUGUUCACGCAAACCGAGGAGAAGAGCAGUCCUGGCAAAGACCUACACCCGCACCUGCUCCGAAUCUCACUCUGCGGCAACUGAUUCGACGCUGGAAGUGCUCGACGUUAUUUUUCACGGGAGAAAAAAAGAGUUACAACCGCUGCGCGCAUACUCGGCAAGGCAGAAAAUGCUUUUCACGAAAUAAAGCUAUUAUCGCACCUCGUCGCAUAUUGGACAGUGUGUAUUGUAUCGGAGCCAAGUGCUUUGUGUAAAAAACUAGGUAUGUUCUUCUAUAAGCUGAAGCACUUCACGGUGCGCGAACUUCUGGAAAAAGUCGAGGUGGGUCUGAAGCUGCUACGUGAUUUUUUGAAGCAUCGAGCCAUGACGAUGGAUUUUUUAUUCGAGCUGGAUUUUAUCUGAAGAAAUUUUGAAACGUUUAUAUCGCUGAAAUUUCACCCGAUUACAUCUCUGAUCAGACAUUUAAAAGUGAAGUUCGUUGCGUCAUCCUAAACGAAGACUACUAGCACCAAGCAUUACUUGAAUUAAUUUCUGUGAAAAUGCAAUUUUUUCUAAAUAUCAAUAAGAUAUUAUUUCAUUUAAAUAUAUAAUCAUUAUAAUACAA